rnacentral:rRNA from 1 species
GAUGAACGCUAGCGGCAGGCCUAAUACAUGCAAGUCGUACGGCAACACAGUUGCGAGCAAUCGCAACCGGUGGCGAGUGGCGCACGGGUGGGUAACGCGUAUGUAACCUACCCUUCUCCGGGACAUAACUCCGCGAAAGCGGUGCUAAUAUCCCAUACCAACUCAUCAAGACAUCUUCUUGAGUUGAAAGCAGCAAUGCGGUGAAGGAUGGGCAUGCGUCCCAUUAGCUGGUUGGUGAGGUAAUGGCCCACCAAGGCAGGGAUGGGUAGCCGGCCUGAGAGGGUGUACGGCCACAUUGGGACUGAGAUACGGCCCAGACUCCUACGGGAGGCAGCAGUAGGGAAUUUUGCGCAAUGGACGGAAGUCUGACGCAGCAACGCCGCGUGAGGAUGAAGGCCUCGGUUGUAACUUCUGUUGGAGUGGAAAAGACCUUUAAGAGGUAAUUGAUGGUACUACUUACGAGUAAGACGACCGGCGUAACUAACGUGCCAGCACG